AUUGAACGCUGGCGGCAGGCCUAACACAUGCAAGUCGAGCGAGCGGCGGAAGGGUGAGUAAUGUCUGGGAAACAGUGCGAGGGAGGGGGAUAUCUAUAGGAAACGGGAGCUAAUACCGCAUAACAUCAGAUGUGGCCCGAGGGGGUUAGCUCGUAGGGGGGGUAACGGCUCACCUCGGCGACGCUCCCUAGCUGGUCUGAGAGGAUGACCAGCCACACUGGAACUGAGACACGGUCCAGACUCCUACGGGAGGCAGCAGUGGGGAAUAUUGCACAAUGGGCGCAAGCCUGAUGCAGCCAUGCCGCGUGUGUGAAGAAGGCCUUCGGGUUGUAAAGCACUUUCAGCGGGGAGGCGUUACCCGCAGAAGAAGCACCGGCUAACUCCGUGCCAGCAGCCGCGGUAAUAC
rnacentral:rRNA from 1 species